rnacentral:rRNA from 1 species
UACAGAGGGGGCAAGCGUUGUUCGGAAUUACUGGGCGUAAAGGGCGCGUAGGCGGCCUUCUAAGUCGAACGUGAAAUCCCCGGGCUCAACCCGGGAACUGCGUCCGAUACUGGGAGGCUUGAAUCCGGGAGAGGGAUGUGGAAUUCCAGGUGUAGCGGUGAAAUGCGUAGAUAUCUGGAGGAACACCGGUGGCGAAGGCGGCAUCCUGGACCAAUACUGACGCUGAGGAGCGAAAGCCAGGGGAGCAAACGGG